CCAGACUCCUGACCUACAGAAACUGUGAGAUCAUAAAUGGGUAUUGUUUUAAGUCACUACAUCUGUGAUCAUUUGUUACACAGGCAUAGAAAACUAAUACGCAAGCUGUGCCAGUGUGUCAGACACCAGAGGGAGAGAGGACAUACUGGAUCUUUCUGGGUAUCAUCAAACUUCUCCAUCCAAGAAUAAGGGACAGCAGCAUCUCUUUGACAUCCAUAGCCCAUUUCUGCUUUGCCAAUAUCACUUGUGCAUCUGGGGCCACCAAUGCAUCCUAUCCUAGCAAGUAUCAAUGGGAAUAAAGAAGAAACUUAGAAAACGACAAAAUUCAAGAAGAGCUGAAGCUCUGGAGCUAGCUUUGGUGGAGAAAGAAUGAUGCGGGAUGUUGGACUAAGCGAGAAAUGCAUAAGAAGCUGGAAACCAGAAAGCAAGGAGACCCACUAACAUGGCCUACUCUGGUCGGCCUCUGGGCACAAAGGAGGGUGAAGAAAGGAUGGGAGCAGACAUGGAGGCACCAAUGGAAACUGCUGAGUUUAACACAAAGCCAUAUAGAGGUCAUUUCUAUAGAGCACAAUAAAUACCAUUAUGUGUUAGACGGAUGGAUGGAUCACUUUUCUCCCCUUGCAAGG
rnacentral:lncRNA from 1 species